rnacentral:rRNA from 1 species
UACGUAGGGGCUAGCGUUAUCCGGAAUUACUGGGCGUAAAGGGUGCGUAGGUGGUUUCUUAAGUCAGAGGUGAAAGGCUACGGCUCAACCGUAGUAAGCCUUUGAAACUGAGAAACUUGAGUGCAGGAGAGGAGAGUAGAAUUCCUAGUGUAGCGGUGAAAUGCGUAGAUAUUAGGAGGAAUACCAGUUGCGAAGGCGGCUCUCUGGACUGUAACUGACACUGAGGCACGAAAGCGUGGGGAGCAAACCGGAUUAGAUACCCUGGUAGUCCCUGAG